rnacentral:misc_RNA from 1 species
GAUGAAGAACGUAGCGAAAUGCGAUACUUGGUGUGAAUUGCAGAAUCCCGUGAACCAUCGAGUCUUUGAACGCAAGUUGCGCCCGAAGCCAUCAGGUUGAGGGCACGUCUGCCUGGGUGUCACAUAUCGUUGCCCAAUGCCUAUUGCAGUGCAAUAGGAAUUUCUAGGGCGAAUGAUGGCUUCCCGUGAGCGUUGUUGCCUCGCGGUUGGUUGAAAAUCGAGUCCUUGGUAGGGUGUGCCAUGGUAGAUGGUGGUCGAGUUAGAACGAUACCGAUCAUGUGCAUGCUCCCCAAAAUAUGGCCUCUAUGACCCACACGCGUCUUUUGACGCUCAUGACGAGACCUCAGGUCAGGCGGGGCUACCCGCUGAAUUUAAGCAUAUCAAUAAGCGGAGGA